GAUGAACGCUGGCGGCGUGCCUAAUACAUGCAAGUCGAGCGAACAGACGAGGAGCUUGCUCCUCUGACGUUAGCGGCGGACGGGUGAGUAACACGUGGAUAACCUACCUAUAAGACUGGGAUAACUUCGGGAAACCGGAGCUAAUACCGGAUAAUAUAUUGAACCGCAUGGUUCAAUAGUGAAAGACGGUUUUGCUGUCACUUAUAGAUGGAUCCGCGCCGCAUUAGCUAGUUGGUAAGGUAACGGCUUACCAAGGCAACGAUGCGUAGCCGACCUGAGAGGGUGAUCGGCCACACGGGAACUGAGACACGGUCCAGACUCCUACGGGAGGAAGCAGUAGGGAAUCUUCCGCAAUGGGCGAAAGCCUGCCGGAGCAACGCCGCGUGAGUGAUGAAGGUCUUCGGAUCGUAAAACUCUGUUAUUAGGGAAGAACAAAUGUGUAAGUAACUAUGCACGUCUUGACGGUACCUAAUCAGAAAGCCACGGCUAACUACGUG
rnacentral:rRNA from 1 species